rnacentral:lncRNA from 1 species
CUCAUAAACUAUCAACCUUUUUGCUUGUUUUAGACAAUCUCUAGUUUGCAAGGUAUGUCAAUGUCUAGGAUUUGUAUUUUGGUCUAUUUAUGUGUACCCCUGUCAAGUAUGUCAAGCUCGUGAUUGGGUUGAAUUGGAGAGGGAAGUAUCUCAGUUUAUAUGAACACGACCUGGUAAAAAGCCUUUACAAUUAGGAACAAAUUAGCCAUUUUAGGAACAAAUGGCAACAUGAUCAUUAGUUAUGGACAUCUGCACUUUCAUUUAAUGUUAUAUAUUG